UCCUACAUCCCAGCUCUACCACAAUCUGUUCCUGACAGGACCAUCCAUCUGUUUAGCCUGAACAACCCUGCAGUUGCUUAUGUGCUUAUUCACAGAUGUAAGUAGGAGGUUGACUACAGGUUUUUGGACUUAUACUUGAAUCCAAGCUAAUGUGACACAUUUGCAAGCAUAGCUGCACAUGUUCUGGUUUAAUUGGGAAAUCUCUCCCUUGACUUUCAGAAUAGCACAGAAGCAGAGACUUUAAGCCUAAACAGACCCAGAUUCAGAGCAGACCCGAUGCUGCUUGAAGAAGGCUGGAGGUAUGUUAAGGAGACAAGGGCUGUCAAGAAGCAGGGAUGUCUCUGGAAAGGGUGAGCAGCUGACGGCCUUUAUGGUUUAGUAGACACCUGUUAAUUUGUCUGCCUCGCAUUCAUUCAUCUUCCUCAUGUGAUUGGAUUAAAGAUGGAUAGAAUAUACCGUCAUGUGAUUCAGAACCAAUAGCAUUCAGUUUAUUGACUGGCAUGGUAUGAACAGGAAGAUCCAUUUAUACCUGAAGUAAGAAAAUGUAAGCCAAAUACUUCUUUGCUUAAGCAAUUUUGAGCUGAGUUGCUGUCUCUCAUAAAAGGAAGUGACUAAACUGAAACAAACGGAUUCUUGGAGAAAUCCCUAAUGUACUAUGGUGUUUUUAAACCCUUAUACUCUUAAAGUGGCAUGGGCCCAUCCCCUCACCUCUUUCCCUCAUAACACUCUUUUCUGGUUCUGAUCAUAUAAAAGAGAUAAUGGUCACUUCCUUUUUAUAAUUUUCCUUUAUGAGGUUGAAUGACAUUUACAAGUAAAAGGAUAGUAUCUCAAUCAAAUGUUACGGAUUCUAAAACUAAUCACUCGGUGCAAUUAAUCUGUGCUUAUUCUAGUGUUUGUUUGUACUGCCUCUUCCCACACCAAGUCUAUUUACUUUGUUCAUUUACCAACAUGGCUCAAAAUACAAUCAAAGCUUUAAAAAAAAUUACAGCAGAUGGAUAUCAAAUUAUAUUGCAAAAUUUAUCAAGUCAUUCGUAAGGUUACAUUAAAUAAAGAGUAGGAAAUCUUAUCUUGGCCCAUGAUUGAACUGAGAAAUGAAAUAGAUGAUAUAUUACAGAAUCAAAUCACAGGUAAUGUUCUUACAAUAGGCAAAUAAAUUAAACAAAGGAAUAAACAAAGAAAGCUGUACUAUUUGUAAAAUAUUUGAGUGUAGAGUUCAAUAUAAUUGACCUAAAUAAAGUAAUUAAUUUCAACCUCAUAAGAGGUCUGAAUUGGAUC